GCAGCAGCAGCACCAACACCACCGUCACCUCUCCCGGCUGGACUCUGAAACCACCACACCAGCUUUCAUUAGGCCGUCCCAGAAUCAAGAGCGGAAUUAUCAGAAGCAAUUAAAACUCCACGCAACCGCGAUCAUAUUACUCAGGAAAAAGCGAAACCAGGUCAAGGUGCAAGCCGCCGGCACCCCCCAAACCCGCCGGGGCGCAGGGCCAGGGCUGUUUACAGGUUUACUCCCAGGCCUUAAAAGCUUAGGUGGUUUGUGGGAACGGGAGAAAAGCCUGAGAAGAGAAAAGCGGGCAGGCGAAGCGAUUACAUAGGCCUUUCCUCCCUCCCGGCAGGCGCGCUGCUCUCAGCAAGCAAUUAGCAGGUCAAUUUACAGCAUGCAAUAAAGAAAACACUCCCUAUCAGCUGCUGCAAGUUAUUACAGAUUUUCGAUGUACAUUAAACGAGUGCACCCGGCCUUUCCAACGGAUACGCGCGAUCUCCAGCGACAACAGGGUCACCCAAUUUCGCGAUCAAGGCUUGGAUCACUGAUUAGACACAAGCCUACCUAGAACAUCCCAUCAAAAGCCAUCUUUCUUUGAAUUUCUCUUGAGGCUGCUGUGCCUUCCUGGAACUCAGAACUCUCAGCUCUGCUGUGGAGCCCCAGAUGCUGCCCUACCCACCUUCUCCUUCCCACCGGCCUCAUCUUGCACCUACCCGAGCUGUACUUUGCUUCCUGCCUGCUGACGUGGCCUGCCCUCAAACUCAGGAGCGAGUACCCUAGGGGUAUUUUUACCCAUUCAUUGGCCAGGGGCUCCUUUGCUCAAUUCAGAUAGAAAUCAUGAAUAAGCAAAGUGCAAGUGCCCUAGUGUAGCUGCUCUAGUGUUACCCACUCCGAACUGUGAAUGCCAGCAGCUCUCAUCUCCUCAUGUUAGCAGCUGUCCUCACUGCUCUCCAAGCCAUGAAGCGAGCAGCUCCAGCAGCUCUCCAAGGUCUUCAGUCACUCAGAGGGAAAAGUUCUCCCUUGUUAUUGGUCACUCUCUGGUUGGAAGCCACCCACAAUGUUACCAGCUCUGGCUGCUGGCCAUUUUCGGUGCCUACUGCCUUUAGUGUUACCAGCAAAUAAUGCAGCCAGUUCAGCCUACCCUACUCCAGAUUGA